rnacentral:rRNA from 1 species
GUGCCAGCAGCGGCGGUAAUACGGAGGGUGCGAGCGUUAAUCGGAUUGACUGGGCGUAAAGGGCAUGUAGGCGGAUAUGCAAGUUAGGUGUGAAAUCCCUGGGCUCAACCUAGGAAUUGCAUUUAAAACUGUGUAUCUAGAGUACUAUAGAGGAAGGUAGAACUCCAAGUGUAGCGGUGAAAUGCGUAGAGAUUUGGAAGAAUACCGGUGGCGAAGGCGACCUUCUGGGUAGAUACUGACGCUGAGAUGCGAAGGCGUGGGAGCAACAGGAUUAGAUACCUGGUAGUCCACGCAGUAACGAUGUCGAUUAGGAGUAUGG